CUCCACCGCGAUCUAUCGUUACAUGAAAAUCUAAUAGGUACUACUGUAACCGCUCACGCGAUCCACGACCUCCGAUUCCCAUCGUCUUGCAUAAAAAUCUCCGCUCGCAUUUUCUUUCAGACGAUUGGGAAAUACGAGCGUGACGCGCCCGACGACGACGCCAAAAAAGACCGCGAGGCUCGUCUCCUCUGAAUUUGAAUAGUCCUUAAAUCAUUACCCUCGAUUGAAAAAACAAAGGGGGGGAGGGGGAGGGGGGGGGGGGUGAAGAAGGGAAGAAAAUGAGACAACGGAGUGGGCCGACCGUGCGAGAAUCGACGAUGCGAUAACGAGCGAUUCGCAUCGGUGAACGAAACGCGGAAAUGCAGUCGGAAUUUCGCAAGUCCGAGCCCGUGUUUCGAAGACGACGGAAAUCGAGGAAUCGAGGAAAUCGAGGCGACGCCGAGGAGCGUUUUGCGCGGGAGAGUCCUGGAACGUUUGACCGGAAGUGAGGAGCCGAUGGCCGAUCCGACCAAGUGUGUCGAUCAAUUUGUACGAUUCGUUUGUUGUAAAUACGGAGAGAAAUGCGAGCCGGCGCAGGUUUCGUCGAAGGUAGCGUUCGGAAGGGGAGUGGUCGGUGGUACAGUUGCGGUAGUUGUAACGUUGGGUUACACGGUGCCGAGAGAUAGACAUAACUAAAACCGAAUCCCAUCCAGCGGUGCGGGAUGCUAAUAUCGCUUCCUUUUUGUUACGUUACAAAUAUAUUCCAGAGCCCGGUGUGUUACCUAACGAUCAUAACAUUAGAACCGUUGGAUGUAAUAUACAUUUCGUGUUCGGAGGCACGGAACCUGAGCGUUUAAAAUGUUGCGGUGAAAGUCCGCGGCGGACCCAUCGCUAAAAUUCUCAUAAUAAUGUAACCGCGACGUUAGAAUUUUCGCGCGUUAUAUUUUUACGGUAUCGGGAUCGGGCGAGGAGGGCGAGAGAAAAGAGAAAAAAAAAAAGGAGACGAAAAAGCGGAAAGCGAAAUAAAAUGGAAAUGAAAAAGAAGAAAUCGGCGUACGCGUAUACCGAGGCCGAUUCUCGAAUCGUCGCGGACCGCGGUGAUCGGGGAGGUAAGAAGCGGAAAAAACGUACGGGCGACGAUCGUCGCAGAAAACGCAUUGAUAUCACGAUGCUUGCGCAAUAAAAUCGUGCCUCGCAUCUCCGAUAGUGUUCGGUUGAGGGCAUCAGACGUACGUACGUAGGUACGUCGACAGUGAGGCCGAGCAGCCGUCGUCGUCGUAAAUUCGAAGGAUAAUUUACGACGUGGAUAUCGAAAUUAAUGUGUCGGGGUAAACGGGAGCGAGCGAUCGAAUUCCUUCCAUCUUCUUUUUAUUCAAGGGCGCGUAUCGUUCGUCGCGUUACGUGAGACGCGUGCGUCCCUCCGAAGAAUUGUAGAUCGUAUCCUCGAUCUCGCGCGUCGUCUCGUCCGUAAGAGUAACAUUUAAAUUUUAAACGAUGAAUUUUAUAACUGGAUUUCGGCUCAACACAUAAUGCUCGAACAGUACGCGACCCGCCGCGUAAUUGUAGGUCCCUUUCGAAGAUUUGAACUUCCGGGGGCAAAUACGCACAUUCUGCUCCCAAGUGGAGGGGGCAAAGUGCGUGACUCCGCUGCCCGCGUGUCUUCCAGUUCCAGUCUAUGAGACGAUUACCUGCGUUAUUCAACCUCGGAAUUGCGUUAUUUUUUAUUCGUUUAUUAAUACGCUUUUUUUCUUUUUCUUUAUUUUUUUUUUUUCUUUUUUUUUUCGCUUGAAUUUCAACGAGUGAAAGGUUCACGAGGAAGAUACGCGACGCGCACGACUGUGCGUAUGUAAUUCCUUUCCGCACGCGGUCCUUGAAAAUCCUAUCGAAUGAUCGCGUAAUUGUCAGAAGCUUCCACGGCAAUAAUUCAUAUUUUUCAACUGCACAAUUAACUCCACGCCACACGUCAAUUCGGAUCCCUGCCGACUAACGGUAUUGAAUUAUACAUCGGAUGCGCACGGAGCGCGCGAACGUUAUUAGGAGUUGAAAACGAAAGCGGCGAAAGAAGAGAGAAAAUAUAAAAGUAAAAAAAAGAGAAAAAAAAAA